AUCCUCUUCCUCAUCACCAAAGAAGAAAGUCUCUUGGUCCAGGUUCUCAGACUCAUCGUAGGAGAAGCUGUCAUUGUCCAGCUCCUCAUCAAACUCAUCCUGCUGCCACUCGGGCACAUCAUCCUCAUCGUCUUCCUCCUCCUCUUCUGCCUCUGGCCCUGAGGAGGCCUGGGGCCUAGGGAGAGCCACCACACUCAGCCCAGAGGAGGCUGCCAUGUCCCACUGCCUCCUCCAUGGCUCUGCCCACCCCACUUACUGACUGCCAGGCAUGUUGGGUCCUUUUGCCUCCCAGGCCUCUACUGAUGGACUCUGAAGACCAACCCGGAAAUCCUGGUGAGCAGACAGAAGGAUUUGAGAAGGAGGUAGAGGGCAUGGGGCCUUUGGACCCAGCAUUCCUUCCACUGAUGCUCUGGGAGGGCCAAGCUCCUGCUAGGACUGCUCCCCUCCCAGCACAGCACUUCAUGAAACACUGCCUUUGUGAGUUCACCCACAGAUGGUCUCCAGGGAUACGGGGUACCAGGUGAGGCACACGACCCUGUGCUUAAAGAGCUUACAGAAUCUAUGUCUUUUCUGCCCAUGUGACUUACCAGUCAGUAAGCAACCUGAGGACAGGACUCACAGUUUAGACUCAGCAUCAGUGCAUUAGAGCUGGAGAGAGCCUGGGAGAGCCCUUGCUCCAGUGACCCCAAUCCCCUGAUGCCCACUCUUAGGAUUUCAAAUCCCUAUCUGGGAAGUACAGUCUGGAAAAGUUCCCCAAGUGAUUCUGAUAGGCACCUGACCAAAUACCCUUGAUGUGGGCUAGCCAACCCCUUUAUUUUGUAGGAAUCCCCAGGAGGUGAAGUGAUAGGGUCCAGCAGCAUCAGGCAGGUUGGCCCAAAAGCCGGGAUGUGCGCCCAGGUCUAACAUCCAUUCACCCGCUUUGCUGCCUUUCCUUCUGGACUCGCCCCAGGGCAGGGGCUGUGCUGGGACAGGAGGACCUCAACUCCCGCAGAAUGCAGGAGCAGAAGGGGUCUGGGCCGGGCAGUACCUGGGCAGAAUGCUGCAGGAUGGCAAGCAGCCUCUCCUGGAUCCGCCGGAGCAGCUCCAUGCCCGUGCUGAGGCAGUCGGCCCGCAGGAGGCGCAGGGAGGAGGCCAGGUCUCUGCACCGCAGCAGGGUUUCCUCUGCAGAGGGGGCAGGCACAGAGGCUCCCUCCCUUCUCAUUCUCAUCCAUUCCUUCCUCCAACAAACACCUAUGGAACGUCUACCAAGCACCAGGUGCAGCUCUAGACAUUCUCAUGAAGCUCCCUAGGGGAGCAGGGUAAAGACCAGAAACCAAGAAACAUCCACGAACAUCUGCGCCCUUGGGCACCUUACAAUGUAGGCUUUCGACCUGAGCUUUAACAGCCAGGCAGUGAGAAGGCCAUGAAGAAUGAAGAGGAAGAGGAGAGAGGGAAGACAAACCAGCUGAUCAAUGUGGAGGCCCUUUUCCCCAUGGGCUUUGAGAAUACGAACAAGAAGACAGCUCAAGAGAUUCCUCUUCUGUUCCAGGGUUCGGCCUUCAUCC
rnacentral:lncRNA from 1 species